UACGUAGGGUCCGAGCGUUGUCCGGAAUUAUUGGGCGUAAAGAGCUCGUAGGCGGUUUGUCGCGUCUGCUGUGAAAUCCCGAGGCUCAACCUCGGGUCUGCAGUGGGUACGGGCGGACUGGAGUGCGGUAGGGGAGAAUGGAAUUCCUGGUGUAGCGGUGGAAUGCGCAGAUGUCAGGAGGAACACCGAUGGCGAAGGCAGUUCUCUGGGCCGUAACUGACGCUGAGGAGCGAGAGCGUGGGGAGCGAACAGG
rnacentral:rRNA from 1 species